CUGAUGGCGACCGGCGCACGGGUGAGUAACACGUAUCCAACCUGCCGAUGACUCGGGGAUAGCCUUUCGAAAGAAAGAUUAAUACCCGAUGGCAUAGUUCUUCCGCAUGGUAGAACUAUUAAAGGAUUUCGGUCAUCGAUGGGGAUGCGUUCCAUUAGGUUGUUGGCGGGGUAACGGCCCACCAAGCCUUCGAUGGAUGGGGGUUCUGAGAGGAAGGUCCCCCACAUUGGAACUGAGACACGGUCCAAACUCCUACGGGAGGCAGCAUG
rnacentral:rRNA from 1 species